AAGACUAUAGACCUGCGGAGUACCUGCGGAAGGAUCAUUACUGAAUGGCCCAAAAGGCCUUCAACCUUCAAACCUGUGGAAGCAAAAUGUGCUUCGGCGCUUUGGCGCCGCAUUUAUGCAGAAUAGCUUGUGUCUGAAUAAAUACAAAACAUUAAAACUUUUAACAAUGGAUCUCU
rnacentral:misc_RNA from 1 species